AUGCCAUCUGAUAUUGGAAAUUCAAAAAACGGUGCUUUUAAAUAUCUAAAGGACAGUUUGUGGAGCAAAGUUCAAGGGUGGAUUGCAAACACGAUGUCAUCGGCAGGUAAGGAGGUGUUAGUUAAGGCUGUAGCCCAAGCAGUGCAUGUCUUCUCGAUGUCAUGCUUUAAACUCCCAAGGGGCCUGUGUGAACAUUUGAACAAGUUGAUAAGAAAGUUUUGGUGGGGCAGUAAGGAAGGCAAACGAAAACCGCAUUGGGUUUCUUGGCAAAUAAUGACCCAACCUAAAGGAAUGGGGGGCUUGGGAUUCAAGGACUUUGAACUGUUUAAUCUAGCUAUGUUAGCUAGGCAAGCCUGGAGGUUACUUCAGCACCCCAAUACUCUUUGCGCCAGAAUCCUCAGAAGUAUCUAUCACCCGCAAUCUGAUAUAUUAGAAGCUCAAUUGGGAGGCCAUCCUAGUCAAGUGUGGAGGGCUGUGAUCGAAGGCAGAGAUACAUUGAAACAAGGAUUGAUUAGAAGGAUCGGGAAUGAAGAGACAACAUAUAUAUGGAGGGACAAUUGGAUCCCGAGAGAGGAGAUGCUGCGACCAUAUGGGUGUUUAGCAACACAUCCACCGGCUAGAGUUUCUGAGCUAAUAGAUCAUACAUCCGCGUCUUGGGAUCGUGCGAGGGUAGAAGCGACCUUUCUGCCGAUGGACAGUCGAAUUAUCCUGAGCAUCCCGCUGUGUACACGUAACUUGCCUGAUUUCUGGAGCUGGCACUAUGAGAAGCAUGGAGUUUUUUCGGUGAAGUCCGCUUAUCGUAUGAUUGUGGCUACAAAGCAAAGAAGAGAAGCGUGGCUUGAUGGAAACCCUGGCUCCUCAAACUCAAACGCUGAGGAAGGCUCGUGGAAAACUUUAUGGAAAACGCCCGUCCCGGCUAAGGUGCGAAUGUUUUUGUGGCGACUGUCAAAACACUCCCUGCCCACGAACGACGUACGAGCUCAUAGACACAUGGCUGAUUCGGCUAGCUGCGGAUUAUGUGGAGCACCAGACUCGUGGAGGCACUCGCCGCUGGAAUGUGCUGCAUCCCGAUGCGUUUGGGCAUUGAUCGAUAAUGAAUUGGUGCAUAAAAUGACGACGGUAACAGAGCCUAAUGCAAAACACUGGUUGUUUUCAUUAAUGGAGAUGUUAGAGCACGACAAGUUUGUGCUGCUCUCCGUCACCCUAUGGGCGAUCUGGUCAGCUAGGAGGAAAGCAAUACACGAAGGGAUCUUUCAGAGUCCACAAUCUACCCAAGCAUUCAUUCGAAGGUUCAUCGAUGAUUUGCAGAUAACUUCAGCCCAACAGAAACCAACACCGGCCCGGGUUCCUGUAUCGGUUACUUCAGCCCGCCCAAGAGCCAAGGCUCCGCCAUCGGGGUAUGCUAAGAUCCAUGUGGAUGCUGCUGUUAGGCAUGAGCGAGGUGGAGCAGCUGUAGCUGUUUGCAGGGAUGAAGGAGGAAACUACCUGGGGAGUUCGGCGCUGGUUGUUUACGGUGUGAGCAAUCCUACGAUAUUGGAGGCAACGGCAUGCAGAGAAGCGCUAGCGUUGGCAGAGGACAUGAACCUGACACAUUGCGUGAUCUCAAGCGACUGCAAGCAGGUGGUGUCCGAUAUCACAAAUGGAACCCUAGGGGCGCAUGGAGCUAUCAUUGCGGAGAUUAGGGCGAAAGCAGAGUUGCAUAACUUGAAGUUUAUUUUCAAGGGUCGUGCUGUUAAUUAUGAAGCACAUAGAUUAGCUCGUUUUUCUAUUUCUCAGGGUUUGGGUCGUCACGUCUCUCACUUGCAACGUGAAUGA
rnacentral:rRNA from 1 species